rnacentral:lncRNA from 1 species
GGGAAUUUAAUUAAGCUAAUUAACAAUUCUAAAGUUAGAGUUAAUGAUAAAAAAAAACAAUAAAUAGAGUCAAUUUAAUAAAUUAAAGAUAAAGGAGAAAUGAAUUUGGGCCCCCUUUUUGGGCCAAUUUUGCUUAAAAUUUUGGCCUUUAAACCAAUCCCGUUUUUGUAUACAUCUGUUGUAUAUCGGCAUGUAUAUCAGUUCUUUCCAUGUAUCUCCUGCUUCCGAACACCUGUAUUCUAUCUUAUCUCUGUAUUUUCACGUUUUUGACCUGUAUAUAAGUGUAUACAGCUGCAUAUAGCGUAUAUUGAAUGUAUAUUGUCCAUCUUAGGACUUUUGGAGGCUUGUAUCUGGGUUUCCAGCCCUGUAACAACUUCCGAAUGCAUAGAGGCUGACUCGAAAAAUAGGGAAAAAGCAUUGGGUUUCAACCCCAACUCAAAAUACAAGGCAAAGAGGAGUCCGAAGAACUCGAUCCGAGGGAAUUUAUGCAAAGAGAAUAAGAAGAAAACGAUUAGUACGAAGGAAUGGAUCAUAAUGAACCAAUACAAAAAGAUGAAAUAAAAUGUCACCAUAUGAAGACAAAGCACAAAUUAUAAAUUCACAAUAGUAAACUAUUACUGUAACUAGAUGUUUUCUUCCUAAAAAAAAUCUAUAAUUAAAGUUAAUUGAGGACGUUCAAAAAAAAAAAAACAUUAUGGUCAGGAUUACCAAGGAUCUACUAGUGCAAUUUUAUAGUCGAGAAGAUAAUAACUCGGGUAAGGUAACAAUUUCGUCAAGACGCCUUCACUAUAUCACUUACCAAAACUUUAACAACAAACACUCAUUAAACUUUCCUAAGGCUACAGUGGUGUAAUAAACCUACUAAACCAAGCAAUGGUGUAAUAAACGUCAUACCUAAGGCUACAUAAAUCUGAUAAGCACUCCUUAAACCUUCCUAGGCAAUCAUGAGCAACAUAUGUGCCUGAAACUUUACAACAUCUACAUGAGAAUAUUACUAGUGCAAGCCCCGGAUAAAUGUAUGUAAUGUGAUGCCGAGAAGUUAAUUUGGGCCACUACAAUUUUUACAUCUCCAAGAAAAUCCAAAAGUAGUGUAUAUUCAACAAGUAAUGGCUACCAAAUAUAAUCUAUAUGCCGAACCAAUUUCCACAAAGCGUACAUUCAAUCUUAGAGACUCAACAUACAUUAAUAUUUUUGAACUCUAAGAAACGGAAAAGGCAGACAACAAUAACCUUCACGUAUACAAACUUAGCUUAACUAAAGAUUCAUUGGAUUCCAAAAUCAAAGAGGCAUGUUUCAAACAAUCUAAAAUUAGAACGAAAUAAACUCAACCAAACGGUCAACGAAGAGAAGAGAAAAGAUAAAACAGUAAACCAAUCGGCCUAUAUUUAUUUACACUAGUCGAGAUAUAAAACAACAUCAGCUCACAAAUGAGAACAAACCUCCUCUUAGAAACUAAAAUUUAAGACUUCAAAUUGAACCACAAUCAUAAACAACAAGAUGAGAUCAUGUAAUGAGGUAAAAGUACACUAAUCGGAAGAACUCAUCUCGACAUUAAAUGGGAUUAGUCCAACUUUCGGCGAGAAAAUAAUAAUCGAAAAAUCAUUUUAAAUAAACGAACCAACUACACACUGAUUUACAACCAACAUUCAAUCAUAAUGUACCCCAAAUCAUAACAUUUGAACCCUUACUCAAUCAAGAAUCAAGUAAUCAACACAUUAAGGAUAAAGAGACAUGGGCUGAAAUUAGAUGUUACCUUUUGAGGGGCAGAGAACUAGGAAUGACGAGCUUUGAAUAGCGACGAGCUUCCACCACCACACGACCCUUUGAGAAAUCCAGCAAACCACGAACAAGGCAAAAAAAAUAAUUAAGAAAUUGUAUUUUUAGGUGUAUCUUUUAUGUAACUUCCUGUAGCUUUGGAAAACUCUUUCUCGGUAGGUUCUUGCCCUCAAAAUUCAACUUCCAAAACAAACAAAAAAAACCUCUCUAUUCACUGAGGGUAGAGGGUUAUUUAUAGGGAAAGAUAAGGGUGAUUUAAGGGGGGAAAUCUGUUCGAAAAAUUCAAACAAAAAGUUUAGAUUUUUCCUACUUCUUUCGAAGCAACAGUGAAGGGGGAUGGGAAAAACAGUGACUUCCGCUGAAGGGGGAAAAGGGGACGUGAGGGUUUGACAUUGGGGAUGCUAGGGUAUGGGUUUGGACGAGAUUUUCAGGUUUGCAGCGCGAUUUGCCCGCUGGAUUUCGAUCUUCACGUGAAGAAGAAGAAGAGCGCGAUGGACAGGGGUGGGGUCGUCUGGUUUGGGCGUCUGCUGAUGGGAUUUUGGUUUCUGGGUUUG